rnacentral:rRNA from 1 species
UACGUAGGGGGCUAGCGUUGUCCGGAAUCAUUGGGCGUAAAGAGCGUGUAGGCGGCCAUACAGGUCCGUUGUGAAAACUGGAGGCUUAACCUCCAGACGUCGAUGGAAACCGUAUGGCUAGAGUCCGGAAGAGGAGACUGGAAUUUACGGUGUAGCGGUGAAAUGCGUAGAUAUCGUAAGGAAGACCAGUGGCGAAGGCGGGUCUCUGGACAGUUCCUGACGCUGAGGCACGAAGGCCAGGGGAGCAAACGGG